UACGGAGGGUGCGAGCGUUGUCCGGAAUCACUGGGCGUAAAGGGCGCGUAGGCGGCUCAUGAAGGCUGUGGUGAAAGUCCGGGGCUCAACCUCGGAUCGGCCGUGGCGACUCGUGGGCUGGAGCACUGUAGAGGCGGGUGGAAUUCCGGGUGUAGCGGUAGAAUGCGUAGAGAUCCGGAAGAACACCAGUGGCGAAGGCGGCCCGCUGGGCAGUGGCUGACGCUGAAGCGCGACAGCGUGGGGAGCAAACAGG
rnacentral:rRNA from 1 species